rnacentral:rRNA from 1 species
UACGUAGGGGGCAAGCGUUGUCCGGAAUCAUUGGGCGUAAAGCGCGUGUAGGCGGUUCGAUAAGUCUGCUGUGAAAGUCCAGGGCUCAACCCUGGGAUGCCGGUGGAUACUGUCGGGCUAGAGUGCGGAAGAGGCGAGUGGAAUUCCUGGUGUAGCGGUGAAAUGCGCAGAUAUCAGGAGGAACACCAAUGGCGAAGGCAGCUCGCUGGGACGUGACUGACGCUGAGACGCGAAAGCGUGGGGAGCAAACAGG